rnacentral:piRNA from 1 species
UACCAGUUGUUUCUCUGGGGA